AGAGUUUGAUCCUGGCUCAGGAUGAACGCUGGCGGCGUGCUUAACACAUGCAAGUCGAGCGAAGCACUUUGGAAAGAUUCUUCGGAUGAUUUCCUUUGUGACUGAGCGGCGGACGGGUGAGUAACGCGUGGGUAACCUGCCUCAUACAGGGGGAUAACAGUUAGAAAUGACUGCUAAUACCGCAUAAGACCACGGUACCGCAUGGUACAGUGGUAAAAACUCCGGUGGUAUGAGAUGGACCCGCGUCUGAUUAGGUAGUUGGUGGGGUAACGGCCUACCAAGCCGACGAUCAGUAGCCGACCUGAGAGGGUGACCGGCCACAUUGGGACUGAGACACGGCCCAGACUCCUACGGGAGGCAGCAGUGGGGAAUAUUGCACAAUGGAGGAAACUCUGAUGCAGCGACGCCGCGUGAAGGAUGAAGUAUUUCGGUAUGUAAACUUCUAUCAGCAGGGAAGAAAAUGACGGUACCUGACUAAGAAGCCCCGGCUAACUACGUGCCAGCAGCCGCGGUAAUACGUAGGGGGCAAGCGUUAUCCGGAUUUACUGGGUGUAAAGGGAGCGUAGACGGCACGGCAAGCCAGAUGUGAAAGCCCGGGGCUCAACCCCGGGACUGCAUUUGGAACUGCUGAGCUAGAGUGUCGGAGAGGCAAGUGGAAUUCCUAGUGUAGCGGUGAAAUGCGUAGAUAUUAGGAGGAACACCAGUGGCGAAGGCGGCUUGCUGGACGAUGACUGACGUUGAGGCUCGAAAGCGUGGGGAGCAGACAGGAUUAGAUACCCUGGUAGU
rnacentral:rRNA from 1 species